UACGUAGGGUGCAAGCCGUUGUCCGGAAUUAUUGGGCGUAAAGGAGCUACGUAGGCGGGUUUGUCGCGAUCUGCUAGUGAAAACCCGAGGCUCAACCUCGGGCCUGCAGUGGGUACGGGCAGACUAGAGUGCGGUUAGGGGGAGAUUGGAAUUCCUGGUGUAGCGGUGGAAUGCGCAGAAUAUCAGGAGGAACACCAAUGGCGAAGGCAGAUCUCUGGGCCGUAACUGACGCUGAGGAGCGAAAGCAUGGGGAGCGAACAGG
rnacentral:rRNA from 1 species